rnacentral:sRNA from 1 species
GAUGCCAGGGGCAAAAUAUCCGAGCCCACAUGAGCUUGCUCAUAGUGGGUGAAUGAUCUUGGGCCCCGCCCCGAUAUGAGCAUAAAAGUGGGAUGUAUAUCCCGCGAUAUGCGAAUAUUGGGUAGGAUUGCGAAAGUGCGCAGCACAGAACAAUCCACAGGC